CUGGCCCGCACUCGGCGGCCGCGGCGCGAUGGAGGCGCCGGCCGAGCUACUGGCCGCGCUGCCUGCGCUGGCCACCGCGCUGGCCCUUCUGCUCGCCUGGCUACUGGUGCGGCGUGGGGCGGCCGCGAGCCCGGAGCCUGCCCGCGCGCCCCCGGAACCCGCGCCCCCGGCCGAGGCCACCGGGGCCCCGGCGCCGUCCCGCCCCUGCGCCCCCGAGCCGGCGGCCUCGCCCGCGGGGCCGGAGGAGCCUGGAGAGCCCGCGGGGCUGGGGGAGCUCGGGGAGCCUGCGGGACCGGGGGAGCCCGAAGGGCCAGGGGAUCCCGCGGCGGCGCCAGCGGAGGCGGAGGAGCAGGCGGUGGAGGCGAGGCAGGAGAAGGCUUCUCCUUCAAAUACAGCCCCGGGAAGCUGAGGGGAAACCAGUACAAGAAGAUGAUGACCAAAGAGGAGCUGGAGGAGGAGCAGAGAACUGAAGAAUAACGAAGUUAUCCUUAGCGUCCUCCUAAAGGCUUUUCCUUUUGGCAUCUUAAAAGCUUGAGAGAUAAAACGGAAACCCCAGAGAGGAGUCUGGGCAGGCUCCCAGGGUGCAUGCUGCCUCCAUAAAUCUGCUGAGCUCUAGACCCUCAAUCAGGACUUGUCCCUUGGCUAGCAGGAUCCUGGGAACACCUUUGGCCCUGCCCUGUGUAGAGAUGUUCAUGUCUGUUCCUGUGGGUCACUUUGUUAAGCUGAAGAGUUUUAAGAGGUAGAGCUCAGACCCUGGACUGGGAUUUUUCUUACCACUCAAACUUGCUAUCCACACACCCUGCACACCUUAGAUAAAAAGAACAUUUUAAAAGCAGAGUUCACUUUCACUCCAGUCUCCCCUCUUUUGCCCUCACUGAAGCCAAACCACAGAAGACUUUGAGGAAUGAGAGACAAAUGAGGUAGAGCUCACCUGUGCUCACCAGCUCCGUCAGGGUGGUCAGCCGACCCCUUUCCCUGGGAACCCCACUUCUCUCUGUGGCUGGCUUGGUUGUCGGGGGUGAGAUGCCAUAUUGAUUACAGGGCAGCAAAGAACCAGUACCAGGAAUUUACUUGACCAUUCCCCUUAUUUUUCAUCUAGAGGAAUCUCGGAUUCAGCCCUUUCAUUGCUAAGACACCUUUUCACUGAGGUUCUUACCAGCUCAGCCAAAUCUCCACUCUGCUAUAGCAGAAGCAAUAAUGUUUGCUUUAAAAAGAUUUCUUGACCUAUGCCUUUUCUUAGAAAGUUUGAUAGAUUAGUUAGAACUUCAGAUCAUCAGAUCAGUCUCAAAUGGGUUUCUUGGAAUUUUAUAUUUGACAAUAUUUAUACUAUACCAAACUCAUUUGCAGUUCUUAGGUUUGUUGGUUAAAACAUUUUUUUAAAGCAGUAAGUUUAUAGAAAAUGUUUUCAUUUAAUGGAAGGCUGGGGAAUGUCCAGCAUCAACCCCUAUGGCAUGCAUUCCCAGGGGCCUUCUCAUCUGGGCCUGGAACCUUUGGUUCAGGGCUUAGGGGAGAACAGGCCACAUGGCAACAGCCACACAGUCAUUGCCUUCAACACAGAGCCACGUGUCCCCAAACAGCAAUAGUCAUGCCCUUGUCCAGGCUGGGAUCUAAUUGACACAAUAGGUCGUUGACUCCCUCCUAGUAGAGCUAUCUAGGUUUGUCUGGAAAGUUUCCGACCCUGGCUUAUAGGCACCACACCUCAUGUACUCCUCAUGGCUUGGAUCUCUGUAUUCAGCCUUUGUUCAGUCCAAUAAACUUUGAGUAGAUGAUCUC
rnacentral:lncRNA from 1 species